UUGAUUAAAACUCUCCCUUGCCUUAAUACUUACCAGUUACCACCUCUGCUUCUCUAAACCCUACUCUUCUCAAACCACUACGCCGCCGAUGAACCGCUAAAUACCAAAUUUUGUUAACGGACAGUUGCAGUUUCUUGGAGUUGCAAGAAAGGAUUUGAUCUCUGUACAUCUCAAGAAUACAUGGCAACAAGGCAAUUGAAUGAAAAUGAUUCACAUAGAUAACUCCAGCUGAUCUUGAGUUGUAAGAGCUAGAUGGAAAUUUUGAAGUGAAGAUGGACUUGUAUUGUGCAGAUUCUUUGAUUAUUUGCUUUGUUCUCGUUUAUAAGCUUUGAUAUGUAUCAUUCUUAAUUUUAACUUGGAUUUAAUCAAUUUGUUUAAUUAUUUCACUA